AGCCAGUAUGGUUUAGUGGUUUGAGUGUUACACUAGGACUCUGGAGAACAGGGUUUAAUUCCCUGCUUGGCUA